AUUGAACGCUGGCGGCAGGCCUAACACAUGCAAGUCGAGCGAGCGGCGGACGGGUGAGUCAUAUCUGGGAAACUGCCCGAGGGCGGGGGAUAACUACUGGACACGGUAGUUAAUCCCGCAUACCAUCAGAUGUGCCCAGAUGGGCUUAGCUAGUGGGUGGGGUAACGGCUCACCUAGGCGACGUUCCCUAGCUGGUCUGAGAGGAUGACCAGCCACACUGGAACUGAGACACGGUCCAGACUCCUACGGGAGGCAGCAGUGGGGAAUAUUGCACAAUGGGCGCAAGCCUGAUGCAGCCAUGCCGCGUGUGUGAAGAAGGUCUUCGGGUUGUAAAGCACUUUCAGCGGGGAGGCGUUACCCGCAGAAGAAGCACCGGCUAACUCCGUGCCAGCAGCCGCGGUAAUAC
rnacentral:rRNA from 1 species